UAUGAAUCCAGAGGGGCACUCUGCCAUGCACUCAUCGUUGUGAAUCACAAACCUCUCGUAGUCACUUGUUUCAGUGGCAGGGACUUUGGAGCAGAACUCCUUGGUCACACAGCGCCAGCCCUCAAACUUGUACGUGUUGGGAGGGCAGGUGGGCAUGCAGACGCCUUCGUAGUAGUAAUUCCGGCAGGCCACGCAAGCAGUGUUGUUGUCGGGUGCUGUGCAGCUCCCCAGGCACUCAGGAUGGCAACACUCAUUCUGGUCUGUGCAGGCUCUCUUGCCACAUGAGCUGGGGCACAUUUUCUGGCAGUGGUUGGUGGUCCAGCAGCGGUAGUUGUACUCGUUGUUAAUGGAGGUCUUCUCGCACAACGGCUUCUCCUCCAUCGUUCCUGGACACAAGUCCCCGCACUCCUUCGGAGGCUUAUUUCCAACAAUGUAGUUAUUAGAGACCGCAUCUAGGAUGAGAGACCAGUCCACUGUGGAGAGGUAACACAGGUCAGAGUUCUUCUCAAUCCGUAUGGCCCCGCGGGUUAUGUUCCUCAAGUUGUGAAGCCCGAUCUCCUUCAGAUUUGUCAUUUCGAAGAUCACCAAGGCAUAGUUGUAGAAGAGGUUCCUCCCGCGAAUGACCGUG
rnacentral:lncRNA from 1 species